rnacentral:lncRNA from 8 species
GAAGGCUUAGAAGGUGCUUUCCUUCUCUUCUGUCUCUCUCUCUCUCCAUCCCUUUCUCUCUACUUCCCUCUCUCUCUUCAUCCCUCUCACUCCCCAUCCCUUUCUCUCUUCAUCCCUCUCACUCUCCAUCCCUUUCUCUCUUCAUCCCUCUCACUCUCCAUCCCUUUCUCUGUUUAUCUCCACCCCUCUCUCUCUCCACCCCUCUCUCUCUCUCCACCCCUUCCUCUCUCUAACCCUCGCUCUCUCCACCCCUUCCUCUCUCCACCCCUCUCUCUCUCCACCCCUUCCUCUCUUCACCCCAUCUCUCUUAUCCCUCUCUCCCACCCUCUCUCUCUCUCUCCAUCCAUCCCUCUCUCUCUCCAUCCAUCCCUCUCUCUCAUCCCUCUCUCUCUCUCUCUCCCUCUCUCUCAUCCCUCUCUCUCUCAUCCCUCUUCCUCCCUCUCUCUCGCCAUUCCUCUCUCUCUCUUGCCAUCCCUCUCUCUCUCUGUCUCCAUCACUCUCUCUCGCCAUCCCUCUCUCUCUCUGUCGCCAUCCCUCUCUCUCUCCAUCUCUCUCCCUCUCUCUCUCCAUCUCUCUCUCUCUCUCUCGCCAUCCCUCUCUCUCUGUCUCCAUCCCACUCUCUCUCGCCAUCCCUCCCUCUCUCUCUCGCCAUCUCUCUCUCUCGCCAUCCCUCUCUCUCUCUCUCUCUCCAUCUCUCUCUCUCUCUCUCUUGCCAUCCCUCCCUCUCUCUCUCGCCAUCUCUCUCUCUCGCCAUCCCUCUCUCUCUCUCUCUCUCCAUCUCUCUCUCUCUCUCUCUCGCCAUCCCUCUCUCUCUCGCCAUCCCUCCCUCUCUCUCUCUCUCCAUCUCUCUCUCUCUCUCUCUCGCCAUCCCUCUCUCUCUCGCCAUCCCUCUCUCUCUCGCCAUCCCUCUCUCUCUCUCUCUCUCCAUCUCUCUCUCUCUCUCUCUUGCCAUCCCUCCCUCUCUCUCUCGCCAUCUCUCUCUCUCGCCAUCCCUCUCUCUCUCUCUCUCUCCAUCCCUCUCUCUCUCUCUCUUGCCAUCCCUCUCUCUCUCUCUCUUGCCAUCCCUCUCUCUCUCUCUCUUGCCAUCCCUUUCGCUCUCUGUCUCAUCCCUCUUUUCUUUUCCUCAAUCUCUGCCUCUCUCUGUCUGUAAUAGUGUGUAUGUGUGCUUGCAUGGAGGGGGAGCAGAUUGUGGGUUUAAAGUGUGUGUGUGGUGUCUGUUGGCAGGGCGAUGAGGGUGUCAGCUGGGAUGUUGUUAAGGCAGGGGGAACAGGCUGGCUGUGUGUGUGUGUGUGUGUGUGUGUGUCAGCUGGGAGGGAUGUUGUUAAGGCAGGGGGAACAGGCUGGCAGCACGGCAGGAAGGCCCUGUUAAGAGCCACUGCUGGGAAUUUGGUGGAGCCAGUUGCCGGCCAAAACAGGGAGGACUUCCAAACUUGGGAUAAAGACAUUUCCUCCCCCAUUUAUAAAGUCUGA